rnacentral:rRNA from 1 species
GUCGAGCGAACAGACGAGGAGCUUGCUCCUCUGACGUUAGCGGCGGACGGGUGAGUAACACGUGGAUAACCUACCUAUAAGACUGGGAUAACUUCGGGAAACCGGAGCUAAUACCGGAUAAUAUAUUGAACCGCAUGGUUCAAUAGUGAAAGACGGUUUUGCUGUCACUUAUAGAUGGAUCCGCGCCGCAUUAGCUAGUUGGUAAGGUAACGGCUUACCAAGGCAACGAUGCGUAGCCGACCUGAGAGGGUGAUCGGCCACACUGGAACUGAGACACGGUCCAGACUCCUACGGGAGGCAGCAGUAGGGAAUCUUCCGCAAUGGGCGAAAGCCUGACGGAGCAACGCCGCGUGAGUGAUGAAGGUCUUCGGAUCGUAAAACUCUGUUAUUAGGGAAGAACAAAUGUGUAAGUAACUAUGCACGUCUUGACGGUACCUAAUCAGAAAGCCACGGCUAACUACGUGCCAGCAGCCGCGGUAAUACGUAGGUGGCAAGCGUUAUCCGGAAUUAUUGGGCGUAAAGCGCGCGUAGGCGGUUUUUUAAGUCUGAUGUGAAAGCCCACGGCUCAACCGUGGAGGGUCAUUGGAAACUGGAAAACUUGAGUGCAGAAGAGGAAAGUGGAAUUCCAUGUGUAGCGGUGAAAUGCGCAGAGAUAUGGAGGAACACCAGUGGCGAAGGCGACUUUCUGGUCUGUAACUGACGCUGAUGUGCGAAAGCGUGGGGAUCAAACAGGAUUAGAUACCCUGGUAGUCCACGCCGUAAACGAUGAGUGCUAAGUGUUAGGGGGUUUCCGCCCCUUAGUGCUGCAGCUAACGCAUUAAGCACUCCGCCUGGGGAGUACGACCGCAAGGUUGAAACUCAAAGGAAUUGACGGGGACCCGCACAA